rnacentral:lncRNA from 1 species
GUGAUUCAGACUCAAGAAGGCAAAUUAUGUAGUGGGAUUGAUCAACUAUACCUGCCAUGUGUGAAGUUUUAGAACAAGAGUUAGAACUAAGAGCAUAUAAUAAGAUUAUCCGUGCACAAGAAGAAAACAAACCCACCUCUACAGAAAUACUGCACGGUGAAAAACAAGUCUUCUAAUGUUUUGACUAUUUUUUGCAUCCUCCUAGGCGGAUAGCCUGUUCAAGGCCACUGUCACUAUCUUCAGUCUAACAAGUCUAGCCACUGACACUAUCUUCAAGGCCAGCAGCCGAAUCCCACCUUACAAAAAUCAAACUUUACAUCCUACCUAAGGCAUCACCUAAACCACAUUCCUCGUACUCCAGCAUCUACACUACUCCGCACGAGCUACACAUUCUCCUCCGUGCGACGGGAGCUGUUCAUCAGGUCGUCAAACACUAAUCUACCUCCUCCAAUGAGUUAGUUCGCAGACGAAAAAUAGAGGUCAUUCUCUUACUCUUCUAAAACUUGAAGUCCAUCUUCCUGCUCUUCUUCUUCCAAGACAACCACA